GAGUUUGAUCAUGGCUCAGGACGAACGCUGGCGGCGUGCCUAAUACAUGCAAGUCGAACGAGAUCCCGGAGCUUGCUCCGGGGGACAGUGGCGAACGGGUGAGUAACACGUGAGAAACCUGCCCUAGAGACCGGGACAACCGUUGGAAACGGCGGCUAAUACCGGAUGCCUUCACACGGUCGCAUGGCCGAGUGAAGAAAUGCUCAGGUGCUCUAGGAGGGUCUCGCGGCCUAUCAGCUAGUUGGUGAGGUAACGGCUCACCAAGGCAUCGACGGGUAGCUGGUCUGAGAGGACGAUCAGCCACACUGGGACUGAGACACGGCCCAGACUCCUACGGGAGGCAGCAGUAGGGAAUCUUGCGCAAUGGGGGCAACCCUGACGCAGCAACGCCGCGUGUGGGAUGACGGCUUUCGGGUUGUAAACCACUUUCAGUGAUGACGAAAAUGACGGUAAUCACAGAAGAAGGUCCGGCCAACUACGUGCCAGCAGCCGCGGUAACACGUAGGGACCGAGCGUUGUCCGGAUUUAUUGGGCGUAAAGAGCUCGUAGGCGGUUCUGUAAGUCGGAUGUGAAAACUCAGGGCUCAACCCUGAGACGCCAUCUGAUACUGCAGUGACUAGAGUCCGGUAGAGGAAGAUGGAAUUCCUGGUGUAGCGGUGGAAUGCGCAGAUAUCAGGAGGAACACCAACGGCGAAGGCAGUCUUCUGGGCCGGUACUGACGCUGAGGAGCGAAAGCAUGGGGAGCAAACAGGA
rnacentral:rRNA from 1 species